UACGAAGGGUGCAAGCGUUAAUCGGAAUUACUGGGCGUAAAGGGUGCGUAGGCGGUUUGUUAAGUCUGUUGUGAAAUCCCCGGGCUCAACCUGGGAAUGGCAAUGGAUACUGGCAGACUAGAGUAUGGUAGAGGGGGGUAGAAUUCCUGGUGUAGCGGUGAAAUGCGUAGAUAUCAGGAGGAAUACCAGUGGCGAAGGCGCCCCCCUGGGCCAAUACUGACGCUGAGGUACGAAAGCGUGGGUAGCGAACAGG
rnacentral:rRNA from 1 species